rnacentral:lncRNA from 1 species
CACAUGAACUUCAGGCCCAAACACUAUAAGUACCAUCAGCAAGGAGCUACUUCUACAGUUUAAACAGUUUAAUUGAUGUUAGUAAUAUAUCGCUGAAUCAAUCAUCAAUAGUUAGCAAAAGCUUACAACACUAGAAUUUCCUGCUGAUACAAUUUAGUAUGUUUGCAAAUGGAUUGUAUUUGCUGGACAAUUUGUAACAAUAUAUUACCUAUACCUAGCUAAUCUAGUAAUCUACCCCUUUACCCGUCAAAAUAAGUAGUUUAGAUCUUUCCUUUUUUUUCUCUCAAUUGAUGAAAAUAUUUCCAGGAAUUUUCUUAUAUGGAUUCAUGUGGGAAUUGUAUUUGCUGGACAAUUUGUAACAAUAUAUUACCUAUACCUGCUAAUCUAGUAAUCUACCCCUUUACCGGUCAAAAUAAGUAGUUUAGAUCUUUCCUUUUUUUCUCUCAAUCGAUGAAAAUAUUUGCAGGAAUUUUCUUAUAUGGAUUCAUGUGGGAAUUUAUUGUCCUCAAAGCAAGCACAUUUAAUAUGUCCACUAAUUUAUAUAAAUGUGAUGGGUCCAUAGACCCAGGGUCCCCAACGGGACUACUUUCCCGCGACACUUAGCCUAAUGAAGGGCAUAACAACAAACGUACACUUGGGCCGGCCCAGCUACGCGCAUCUAGGCCGAGACCAUGAUCCGGCUGCCGACAGGAGGCCUGGUCGACGCCCCGACUAGAGGGAGCUAGCCGGGGGUGGGGCCACAGUUCAACCCCGACUGAGUGCUCCCAACAGAGUGCUCCUGACUGAGUACUCCCGACUAAGUGCUCCCGACUGAGUGUUCCUGACCUAAUCCCCCGACUGAGGACUCGCCGUACCACUUGCACUGAUCUCCCCGACCGGGAACGCCCGCCCGGAGUGGGCCCAGGGAGCAGGUGGGGCGGAUAAAUGAGGCAGUGCUCGGGUCAGCCAGCCGUACGCGGAGCCGUACCAUGCCACACCCUGCGCACGUCUGCACAGUGGUGUCGUAAACCUACCCGCUAUGGCGUAGUGGCUUGACGAGGAGAACAGGGACCGAGGACGGAAGUCAUACCGUAUCCACUGACGUGGGAUUCGACAAGACUAGGCAGUGCCCGUACACUCACUUUAUUAUCCCACCCCGACAUGUAAGGACCGUCACCUUGUACUAUAAAAGGGGAUGGACCCCACUGCUCCUACAGACACAAGAGACACCCUCUUACACUCUCACGCUCUCUCUCUCUCACACACACCCACACACACACUUAGCGCUAGCCUGAGCUCCUGCCACUCUCCUCCACUGAGACGAGAACAAGGCCAGGACUCAGGCGCCCUCCUCUCCUACUCCUCU